UCGCAGGGGGAGGGAAGCGACGGUUGCCGGGAAGCGCGGGCCACCCCUCCCUCCCUCCCAUUCUUCGUCCUCCCCUCGCGCGCCACCCGUUUUUCCUCUUUCUCCGUUAAUAACGGCUGGGUGGCUGGGGGAGGAGGGAAGGUGGCUCCGGCGGAGUCUGGGCGGGCGCCUCCCACUCAGCCGCCAGCCGCCGUGGGAGCCGGAGGAUGGCGGCGGUAGCAGCGGCCGCCGGAGACUAGGCGGUGCGGAGGCCCGGGGCGCCAAGCGCGGCGGCAGAAAGCGGCAGCGGCCCGUCAUGGCGCACCAGAACCGAAACCAGCGGCAGUCGCACCGCCACCUGAGUCGCCCCUUCCUGCUGGAGACAGCGAGGGGUGCCUGCAGCCGGGACACCUUCUUCUCCGCGUCUCCUCGUCUCCCGCGCCCGCGUCAGGCCGCCAGCCUUGCCCACCGCCCCGAGAAGAGCGCGCCGGGCGCCGACUGCCCCUCGGGGCGCCGGGCGGCGGCCCUGGACGUGCGGGGGCCUCUCUGGGCCGGCCGCAGCGCCUCGGCCCUGCCCUCUAGCUCCCGCGUUCGCUCCUGCCUUCUUGGCUCUCGGGGCACAGCGCGCGGCCCGGUCCGGAGCAGGGCGGACAUGAGCGCCAAGCAGAGCGGCCUGGCCGCCGCUCACGGCGCACGCGCGCGUACUCGGCUCGGAUCUACCUUCCAGUAGCAGCGGAGUGGCCAAUGGGACCGGGACCAGAGCCGGGGGCCGGAGGCCGCCGCCGCGGGGAGGUUCCCGGCCCAGGUGCCCAGCGCUCACCAGCCCGGCGGCGCCGCGGCGGCCCCGCAGCUGUUUCCUCGGGGGGGCGUGGCGUCGGGGGCCUUCGCGGCGCAGUCCUCUUUCAGCAUCCCGAACAGCAGCAGCGGCCCGUAGGACUCGCAGGACUCGGUGCACAGCAGCCCUGAGGAUGGCGGCGGCGGCCGGCACCGGCCGGUGGGCUGGAGCCCCGGCGGGCCGCUCCUGGUGAUCGGCUCCUUACCAGCUCACCUCUCACCGCGCAUGUUUGGAGG